rnacentral:sRNA from 1 species
AGAGGAGAGACUGCUUAGAAUUAUCUCUCACAAAUCCUUCCAUGUUUACCUUCAUGACUAUCUUACAGCGAAAACUCUCCUGAAAGCAGAAAAGUGACCACCUCUCUCCUCUCUGGCCUGCGUGAGAUUUCCUUAGAUCUUGAGUCGCUUUCCUCUGUCUGACUCUCAUAUGGCCAAUGACCCAUCAUUUCCUUUUGCCUUAAGACAUAUUAAAACUCUCCCUCUCUCUCUCUCUCUCUUCUCGGCAACUCCCUUUUCUUCUUCACCUGCCAGGAAAAUAAAUAUGGAUUAGGGUUUUGAACAACGCUACAACGCUUCUAAUUACUUAGAUUCUAGGGUUUCGUAGUAGUCUCUUCCACUAUUUUGUGCACUGUUUGUGGAUCCUAUAUUCUGCAGACAUGGACUACUACUAGCUGCUUGGAAGUUUCAUCACAAAUCAAUGAUGCUGAUGUUGCUUUCAUUGAUUUCAGUUCGUCGUAGUGAAAGUGGUGCAGUUACAUGGAGUUUCAAGUUCCAAUGUGGUUGAUGCAGCUCCAGUACUGUCGUUUAUUAGGAUCAAGUUCAAAUUUAUUGUUUUAUUA